rnacentral:rRNA from 1 species
GGAGUACGGCGUAAAACGUGUUAAAGCACCAUACCAAAUAGGGUUAAAUUCUAACUAAGCUGUAAAAAGCCAUGAUUAAAAUAAAAAUAAAUGACGAAAGUGACCCUACAAUAGCCGACGCACUAUAGCUAAGACCCAAACUGGGAUUAGAUACCCCACUAUGCUUAGCCCUAAACACAGAUAAUUACAUAAACAAAAUUAUUCGCCAGAGUACUACUAGCAACAGCUUAAAACUCAAAGGACUUGGCGGUGCUUUAUAUCC